rnacentral:rRNA from 1 species
CAGCAGCCACGGGAAUACGGAGGGUGCAAGCGUUAAUCGGAAUUACUGGGCGUAAAGCGCACGCAGGCGGUUUGUUAAGUCAGAUGUGAAACCCCCGAGCUUAACUUGGGAACUGCAUUUGAAACUGGCAAGCUAGAGUCUUGUAGAGGGGGGUAGAAUUCCAGGUGUAGCGGUGAAAUGCGUAGAGAUCUGGAGGAAUACCGGUGGCGAAGGCGGCCCCCUGGACAAAGACUGACGCUCAGGUGCGAAAGCGUGGGGAGCAAACAGGAUUAGAUACCCCUGUAGUCCCUGUCUCUUAUAC